rnacentral:lncRNA from 1 species
CAUAAUUUCACGUGAACUUAAACAAGAAGUAAAUUGACGUGUUCAUGUUUUUAUAAGCCUAUUUCAACUGAUUUUUAUAAUUCGUUCUUAUGUAGUACUGUUAUACCACUGUCUCAGGUUAGGGGAAGGGUUGGGAUCCAGCUAACAUGUUUAACCCCUCCACAUUAUUUAUGAAUGUGCCAGUGCCUGUCCCAAGUCAGGAUCCUGUAAUUCAGUGGUUGUCGUUUGUUUAUGUGUGACAUAUUUGUUUUUCGUUCAUUCUUUUAUAUAAAUAAGACCGUUAGUUUUCUCGUUUGGAUUGUUUUACAUUGUCAUAUAUAUAUAUAUAUCUGACUAUGCGGUAUGGGCUUUGCUCAAUGUUGAAGGCCGUGCGUCGACCUAUAGUUGUUAAUGUCUUUGUCAUUUUGGUCUCUUGUGGACAGUUGUCGCAUUGGCAAUCAUACCACAUCUUCUUUUUUUAUAUUAACGUAUAAGCACGUUUGAGGUAAAAAUUCACGUGAAUUUUAAAUGAGACUUCCCUGCAUAAAAAAAAUAUAUGUAAUUAUUUGGUAGUUAAACUUUGAUCAUAAUUUUUUUUAAAUGUUCUUAAAUGCAUACUAUGCGGUAUGAGCUUUGUUGUAGGCCGUGCGCUGACCUAUAGUUGUUAAUUUUUGGGUCGAUAGUGGUCUCUUGUGGAGAGUUAUCGUAUUGGAAAUCACAUCUUCUUUUUUUUUUCUUUUAUAUAAAAUGUUAUCGGCAAAAAACAUUAUCACUUUUAUCUUUUUUAAUUUUAUUAGCUCAAAAAUCCUUUCAUAUCUUGCAUAUAAAUUCAUAAAAAAAAAGUUAAUUCUAUGAAUUCUUAUAAUUAGUAAACUUAAUUUUGCAUUUGUCAUUUCUUUAUAUAGAUAUAGGAAGAUGUGGUGUGAGUGCCAAUGAGACAAUUCUCUUUCCAAAUAACAAUUUAUUAACGAUGUAAACCAUUAUAGGUUAAUGUAUGGCCUUCAACACGGAGCCUUGGCUCACACCGAACAGCACGCUAUAAAGGGCCCCAAAAUUACUAGUGUAAAAUCAUUAAAACGGGAAAACAUUUGCCUUUUAUGGCUGACUAUGUGGUAUUGGCUUUGCUCAUUGUUGAAGGCCUUACGGUGACUUACAUUUUAUUAAUUUUUCCGUCAGUAGGUCUCUGAUGAACACUAGUAAUGGGAAGUGUUGUCAAAUUGGCAAUCACACCACAUCUUCUUUUAUUAUAUGAUUUGUUGAUUUUGUCAGUUUCUAAUUUUUACAGGAGGGGGGGGGGCGGGAGUGUACACGACAGUUGGUUAGGAAUGCAUUAUCAGCAGUUGAAAAUUGAUUUAUAAUGUAAGCUUUCAAUAUGUUCCCAGUUUACAUAACAAUAGUUGUUUGUUCAUGAUGUCCGGUCUAAGAUCUAUGCCCUAGUUGUACUUGUUGACGUAAAUUGUGGUUUUUCUAUGUCAUUCUGGUUUGGCAUCGUACAAGGGAAAUUUUGGCAGAUACUACCAUCCUUAUGUACUUAUAUUAAAGGUUCAUUAAACCAAGCCACGAUCGUCAUUAAAAUUCAUACUUAGCAGUAGAGUUUGUAAUUGUAUGCCUUAGACGAAAUAGUUUUUUUUUUUUCAUUUCAGUGUCAGAACCGUUUUUGAAAUAUAAAUGUGUCUGUAAUGUAUAGUCACAUACAAUUUUGACCAAAUCAUUGCCACACCAAAUUAUUUCUUCUUCUUCACUGUUAGCUUUAUUUUCCAAAAUUAUUCUGAUAUUUAAUUGCUGAUUGUAUAAUCAGUUAUGUAGUUAUAGCUAACAUGUUGUAACCCUCCUCAUUUUGCAACCCCGUUGACCUUUAACUUUUUUAAAACACCGUCUUGCGACAUGUAUGUACGCCAAAACUCUUAUUUUUUCUGCCUAAUAGCUUUUAAUUCAGAAAUAAGCACAUUAACCAUAUAUUUUUUCUAUAAGUUUGAUAUUACAUUUUUUACUUUCAUGAAAAUGUUGCUUUUUUGAAUUUCGGAAAAAACAACUAUACCUAGAAUGACGUGUUUCUUUCUUGUCGACAAUUGUCCUACAUCCAUCUUUAUUCAUAAAUGUAAAAAAAGGAAGAUAUAACAAGCGGUUAAAUGCAAGUGUAUCUCUAAAAUAUGUAUGAUAAACAGACAAAAGAACAUUUCAAAAUCCGAAAGUCUACCUAUAUACGCGGACAUUGUUCUAUAUAUUAACAUCUCUAUAAAAAGUGCGUGGGAAAAGACCAUUUCAAGACAUUUCCAUUUAAAAAAAUAAAGACAAAUUUGAUGUUAACGUACGCGUUGAAAACAAAAAAAAAGUCAUUAAAUAUGUUCGUCUAUUGUUUUUAUCCUUUUCAGACCUCAAAUGUACAUAUAGUAUGGUUAAAUACUUAUUUCACAAAAAG